CUGAUGCACCAUGCCGCGUGUGUGAAGAAGGCCUUCGGGUUGUAAAGCACUUUCAGUCGUGAGGAAGGUGGUGUAGUUAAUAGCUGCAUUACUUGACGUUAGCGACAGAAGAAGCACCGGCUAACUCCGUGCCAGCAGCCGCGGUAAUACGGAGGGUGCGAGCGUUAAUCGGAAUUACUGGGCGUAAAGCGCAUGCAGGUGGUUUGUUAAGUCAGAUGUGAAAGCCCGGGGCUCAACCUCGGAAUAGCAUUUGAAACUGGCAGACUAGAGUACUGUAGAGGGGGGUAGAAUUUCAGGUGUAGCGGUGAAAUGCGUAGAGAUCUGAAGGAAUACCGGUGGCGAAGGCGGCCCCCUGGACAGAUACUGACACUCAGAUGCGAAAGCGUGGGGAGCAAACAGGAUUAGAUACCCUGGUAGUCCACGCCGUAAACGAUGUCUACUUGGAGGUUGUGGCCUUGAGCCGUGGCUUUCGGAGCUAACGCGUUAAGUAGACCGCCUGGGGAGUACGGUCGCAAGAUUAAAACUCAAAUGAAUUGACGGGGGCCCGCACAAGCGGUGGAGCAUGUGGUUUAAUUCGAUGCAACGCGAAGAACCUUACCUACUCUUGACAUCCAGAGAACUUUCCAGAGAUGGAUUGGUGCCUUCGGGAACUCUGAGACAGGUGCUGCAUGGCUGUCGUCAGCUCGUGUUGUGAAAUGUUGGGUUAAGUCCCGCAACGAGCGCAACCCUUAUCCUUGUUUGCCAGCGAGUAAUGUCGGGAACUCCAGGGAGACUGCCGGUGAUAAACCGGAGGAAGGUGGGGACGACGUCAAGUCAUCAUGGCCCUUACGAGUAGGGCUACACACGUGCUACAAUGGCGCAUACAGAGGGCAGCAAGCUAGCGAUAGUGAGCGAAUCCCAAAAAGUGCGUCGUAGUCCGGAUUGGAGUCUGCAACUCGACUCCAUGAAGUCGGAAUCGCUAGUAAUCGUGGAUCAGAAUGCCACGGUGAAUACGUUCCCGGGCCUUGUACACACCGCCCGUCACACCAUGGGGAGUGGGCUGCAAAAGAAGUAGGUAGUUUAACCUUCGGGAGGACGCUUACCACUUUGUGGUUCAUGACUGGGUGAUCGC
rnacentral:rRNA from 1 species